rnacentral:rRNA from 1 species
UUGGCUUAGAAGCAGCCAUCAUUUAAAGAAAGCGUAAUAGCUCACUGGUCGAGUCGGCCUGCGCGGAAGAUGUAACGGGGCUAAACCAUGCACCGAAGCUGCGGCAGCGACACUAUGUGUUGUUGGGUAGGGGAGCGUUCUGUAAGCCUGUGAAGGUGUGCUGUGAGGCAUGCUGGAGGUAUCAGAAGUGCGAAUGCUGACAUAAGUAACGAUAAAGCGGGUGAAAAGCCCGCUCGCCGGAAGACCAAGGGUUCCUGUCCAACGUUAAUCGGGGCAGGGUGAGUCGACCCCUAAGGC